UUUAUUUUGCAGACUUUUUCACUCUAACCCAUUUCUUAGCGUGCUGGAUUCUCAUGGUCAACCAACACCCUCUCAGCUGUAACAAAUCCACUUACCAGAGCAAAUCAUAACCACAUGUGCAAUGUCAGGAAGAGUAAAUGCACUCACCAUUCCAUGCCAACAGGAUCUCUCUUUGUUUUCUCAUGUGGAAGAUAUGAUGAUGAUGAUAAUGUUACUUCAAAGGUUUGAGUCUAUUCACCCAACUGAUAUGUAUAAAGAAGUUG
rnacentral:lncRNA from 1 species